rnacentral:rRNA from 1 species
UUAAGUGCAUGUGGUGGAUGCCUUGGCAGUCAGAGGCGAUGAAAGACGUGAUAGCCUGCGAAAAGCUCCGGGGAGGCGGCAAAUAUCCUUUGAUCCGGAGAUGUCUGAAUGGGGGAACCCACCUACUUUAAGGUAGGUAUUGCAACAUGAAUACAUAGUGUUGCAAGGCGAACGAGGGGAAGUGAAACAUCUCAGUACCCUUAGGAAAAGAAAUCAAUUGAGAUUCCCUCAGUAGCGGCGAGCGAACGGGGAUCAGCCCAUUAAGUUAUGUGUGUUUUAGUGGAACGCUCUGGGAAGUGCGAACGUAGAGGGUGAUAUUCCCGUACACGAAAGGGCACACAUAAUGAUGACGAGUAGGGCGAGGCACGUGAAACCUUGUCUGAAUAUGGGGGGACCAUCCUCCAAGGCUAAAUACUCCUGACUGACCGAUAGUGAACCAGUACCGUGAGGGAAAGGCGAAAAGAACCCCUGUGAGGGGAGUGAAAUAGAUCCUGAAACCGCAUGCAUACAAGCAGUGGGAGCACCUUCGUGGUGUGACUGCGUACCUUUUGUAUAAUGGGUCAGCGACUUAUAUUCAGUAGCGAGGUUAACCGUAUAGGGGAGCCGUAGAGAAAUCGAGUCUUAAUAGGGCGUUUAGUUGCUGGGUAUAGACCCGAAACCAGGCGAUCUAUCCAUGAGCAGGUUGAAGGUUGGGUAACACUAACUGGAGGACCGAACCCACUGUCGUUGAAAAGCCAGGGGAUGACUUGUGGAUAGGGGUGAAAGGCUAAUCAAGCCUGGUGAUAGCUGGUUCUCCCCGAAAGCUAUUUAGGUAGCGCCUCGGACGAAUACCAUAGGGGGUAGAGCACUGUUUCGGCUAGGGGGUCAUCCCGACUUACCAAACCGAUGCAAACUCCGAAUACCUAUGAGUACUAUCCGGGAGACAGACUGCGGGUGCUAACGUCCGUAGUCAAGAGGAAAACAAUCCAGACCGCCAGCUAAGGCCCCAAAAUCAUAGUUAAGUGGGAAACGAUGUGGGAAGGCAUAGACAGCUAGGAGGUUGGCUUAGAAGCAGCCACCCUUUAAAGAAAGCGUAAUAGCUCACUAGUCGAGUCGGCCUGCGCGGAAGAUGUAACGGGGCUAAAACUAUGUGCCGAAGCUGCGGAUGUAUACUUUGUAUACGUGGUAGGGGAGCGUUCUGUAAGCCGAUGAAGGUGUGUUGAGAAGCAUGCUGGAGGUAUCAGAAGUGCGAAUGCUGACGUGAGUAACGACAAAACGGGUGAAAAACCCGUUCGCCGAAAGACCAAGGGUUCCAGUCCAACGUUAAUCGGGGCUGGGUGAGUCGACCCCUAAGGCGAGGCCGAAAGGCGUAGUCGAUGGGAAAAUGGUUAAUAUUCCAUUACUUCUGUGUAAUGCGAUGAGAGGACGGAGAAGGCUAAAUCAGCCUGGCGUUGGUUGUCCAGGUGAAAGGAUGUAGGCAUGUAUCUUAGGCAAAUCCGGGGUACUCUAUGCUGAGAUCUGAUAGCAAGCUGUACUUGUACAGCGAAGUGGUUGAUGCCAUGCUUCCAGGAAAAGUCUCUAAGCUUCAGUUACACAGGAAUCGUACCCGAAACCGACACAGGUGGUCAGGUCGAGUAGACCAAGGCGCUUGAGAGAACUCUGCUGAAGGAACUAGGCAAAAUGGUACCGUAACUUCGGGAGAAGGUACGCUGUUGUUGGUGAUGGAACUUGCUUCCUGAGCUGACGACAGCCGCAGAAACCAGGCCGCUGCAACUGUUUAUUAAAAACAUAGCACUCUGCAAACACGAAAGUGGACGUAUAGGGUGUGAUGCCUGCCCGGUGCUGGAAGGUUAAUUGAUGGGGUUAGCGUAAGCGAAGCUCUUGAUCGAAGCCCCAGUAAACGGCGGCCGUAACUAUAACGGUCCUAAGGUAGCGAAAUUCCUUGUCGGGUAAGUUCCGACCUGCACGAAUGGCAUAAUGAUGGCGGCGCUGUCUCCAGCAGAGGCUCAGUGAAAUCGAAAUCGCUGUGAAGAUGCAGUGUACCCGCGGCUAGACGGAAAGACCCCGUGAACCUUUACUGCAGCUUGACACUGAACUUUGACCUUACUUGUGUAGGAUAGGUGGGAGGCUUUGAAGCUGGAACGCUAGUUCCAGUGGAGCCGUCCUUGAAAUACCACCCUGGUAAUGUUGAGGUUCUAACUCUGUCCCGUGAUCCGGGACGAGGACCGUGUCUGGUGGGUAGUUUGACUGGGGCGGUCUCCUCCUAAAGAGUAACGGAGGAGUACGAAGGUGCGCUCAGCGUGGUCGGAAAUCACGCGUAGAGUAUAAAGGCAAAAGCGCGCUUAACUGCGAGACCCACAAGUCGAGCAGGUACGAAAGUAGGUCUUAGUGAUCCGGUGGUUCUGUAUGGAAGGGCCAUCGCUCAACGGAUAAAAGGUACUCUGGGGAUAACAGGCUGAUACCGCCCAAGAGUUCAUAUCGACGGCGGUGUUUGGCACCUCGAUGUCGGCUCAUCUCAUCCUGGGGCUGAAGCAGGUCCCAAGGGUAUGGCUGUUCGCCAUUUAAAGAGGUACGCGAGCUGGGUUUAGAACGUCGUGAGACAGUUCGGUCCCUAUCUACCGUGGGCGCUGGAAAUUUGAGAGGAUCUGCUCCUAGUACGAGAGGACCAGAGUGGACGAACCUCUGGUGUACCGGUUGUGACGCCAGUCGCAUCGCCGGGUAGCUAUGUUCGGAAGGGAUAACCGCUGAAAGCAUCUAAGCGGGAAGCCUACCUCAAGAUAAGAUUUCCCUAGGACUUUAUGUCCUCUAAAGAGCCGUUCGAGACUAGGACGUUGAUAGGUUGGAUGUGGAAGCAUAGUGAUAUGUGAAGCUGACCAAUACUAAUUGCUCGUGAGGCUUGACU